UACAGAGGGUGCGAGCGUUAAUCGGAAUUACUGGGCGUAAAGUGCACGUAGGUGGCGACGUAAGUCGGGUGUGAAAGCCCCGGGCUCAACCUGGGAAUUGCAUUCGAGACUGCAUUGCUGGAGUACGGAAGAGGAGGGCGGAAUUCCCGGUGUAGCGGUGAAAUGCGUAGAUAUCGGGAGGAACAUCAGUGGCGAAGGCGGCCCUCUGGUCCAGUACUGACACUCAAGUGCGAAAGCGUGGGGAGCAAACAGG
rnacentral:rRNA from 1 species